AGUCUCUGUCCUACCACCCUGCACACAGCUCUUAGCAGAAGCUAAGUAGGGAUGAUCCUGAUGAGUACUUGGAUGGUAGACUGCCUGGGACUACCAAGUGCUAUAGACUU
ensembl:rRNA 5S_rRNA 5S ribosomal RNA